GGUAUAGGUUUUCGGACCUAGAGACCGGCGCACGGGUGCGUAACGCGUAUGCAAUCUACCUUUUACAGAGGGAUAGCCCAGAGAAAUUUGGAUUAAUACCUCAUAGUAUUAUUGAAUGGCAUCAUUUAAUAAUUAAAGUCACAACGGUAAAAGAUGAGCAUGCGUCCCAUUAGCUUGUUGGUAAGGUAACGGCUUACCAAGGCAACGAUGGGUAGGGGUCCUGAGAGGGAGAUCCCCCACACUGGUACUGAGACACGGACCAGACUCCUACGGGAGGCAGCAGUGAGGAAUAUUGGUCAAUGGGCGCAAGCCUGAACCAGCCAUGCCGCGUGCAGGAUGAAGCAUCUAUGGUGUGUAAACUGCUUUUGUACGAGAAGAAACACUCCUACGUGUAGGAGCUUGACGGUAUCGUAAGAAUAAGGACCGGCUAACUCCGUGCCAGCAGCCGCGGUAAUACGGAGGGUCCAAGCGUUAUCCGGAAUCAUUGGGUUUAAAGGGUCCGUAGGCGGUUUUGUAAGUCAGUGGUGAAAGCCCAUCGCUCAACGGUGGAACGGCCAUUGAUACUGCAAGACUUGAAUUAUUAGGAAGUAACUAGAAUAUGUAGUGUAGCGGUGAAAUGCUUAGAGAUUACAUGGAAUACCAAUUGCGAAGGCAGGUUACUACUAAUAUAUUGACGCUGAUGGACGAAAGCGUGGGGAGCGAACAGGAUUAGAUACCCUGGUAGUCCACGCCGGUAACGAUGGAUACUAGCUGUUC
rnacentral:rRNA from 1 species